UGCGAGUUCAUACUCGCAGCGUAUAGCUCAGUAACACGUGGCCAAACUACCCUACAGACAGGAACAACCUCGGGAAACUGAGGCUAACACCUGAUACGCGUUGACUGUUUGAAGACGUCGACGUUCAAACGCUCCGGCGCUGUAGGAUGUGGCUGCGGCCGAUUAGGUAGACGGUGGGGUAACGGCCCACCGUGCCGAUAAUCGGUACGGGUUGUGAGAGCAAGAGCCCGGAGACGGAAUCUGAGACAAGAUUCCGGGCCCUACGGGGCGCAGCAGGCGCGAAACCUUUACACUGCACGCCAGUGCGAUAAGGGAACCCCGAGUGAAAGGGCAUAUCGCCCUUUCUUUUCUGAACCGUAGGGAGGUUCAGGAACAAGAGCUGGGCAAGACCGGUGCCAGCCGCCGCGGUAAUACCGGCAGCUCAAGUGAUGACCGAUUUUAUUGGGCCUAAAGCGUCCGUAGCUGGCCGCGCAAGUCUGUCGGGAAAUCCACCCGCUUAACGGGUGGGCGUCCGGCGGAAACUGUGCGGCUUGGGACAGGAAGGCUCGAGGGGUACGUUCGGGGUAGGAGUGAAAUCCCGUAAUCCUGAACGGACCACCGAUGGCGAAAGCACCUCGAGAGGACUGAUCCGACAGUGAGGGACGAAAGCUGGGGUCUCGAACCGGAUUAGAUACCCGGGUAGUCCCAGCCGUAAACGAUGUUCACUAGGUGUGACACUCACUACGAGUGAGUGUUGUGCCGC
rnacentral:rRNA from 1 species